rnacentral:rRNA from 1 species
GGUGAACGCUGGCGGUAGGCCUAACACAUGCAAGUCGAACGGCAGCACAGUAAGAGCUUGCUCUUACGGGUGGCGAGUGGCGGACGGGUGAGGAAUACAUCGGAAUCUACUUUUUCGUGGGGGAUAACGUAGGGAAACUUACGCUAAUACCGCAUACGACCUACGGGUGAAAGCAGGGGAUCUUCGGACCUUGCGCGAUUGAAUGAGCCGAUGUCGGAUUAGCUAGUUGGCGGGGUAAAGGCCCACCAAGGCGACGAUCCGUAGCUGGUCUGAGAGGAUGAUCAGCCACACUGGAACUGAGACACGGUCCAGACUCCUACGGGAGGCAGCAGUGGGGAAUAUUGGACAAUGGGCGCAAGCCUGAUCCAGCCAUACCGCGUGGGUGAAGAAGGCCUUCGGGUUGUAAAGCCCUUUUGUUGGGAAAGAAAAGCAGCAGGUUAAUACCCCGCUGUUCUGACGGUACCCAAAGAAUAAGCACCGGCUAACUUCGU